UACAGAGACUGCAAGCGUUAUUCGGAUUCACUGGGCGUAAAGGGUGCGCAGGCGGCCAAGUGUGUUAGGCGUGAAAGCCCGGGGCUUAACCCCGGAAUUGCACCUAAAACUACAUGGCUAGAGCAUUGGAGAGGGUAGCAGAAUUCAUGGUGUAGCAGUGAAAUGCGUAGAUAUCAUGAGGAAUACCAGAGGCGAAGGCGGCUAUCUGGACAAUUGCUGACGCUCAGGCACGAAAGCGUGGGGAGCAAAAGGG
rnacentral:rRNA from 1 species